GGUAAGCCUAACACAUGCAAGUCGAACGGCAGCACAGGAGAGCUUGCUCUCUGGGUGGCGAGUGGCGGACGGGUGAGGAAUACAUCGGAAUCUACUUUUUCGUGGGGGAUAACGUAGGGAAAUUUACGCUAAUACCGCAUACGACCUACGGGUGAAAGCAGGGGAUCUUCGGACCUUGCGCGAUUGAAUGAGCCGAUGUCGGAUUAGCUAGUUGGCGGGGUAAAGGCCCACCAAGGCGACGAUCCGUAGCUGGUCUGAGAGGAUGAUCAGCCACACUGGAACUGAGACACGGUCCAGACUCCUACGGGAGGCAGCAGUGGGGAAUAUUGGACAAUGGGCGCAAAGCCUGAUCCAGCCAUACCGCGUGGGUGAAGAAGGCCUUCGGGUUGUAAAAGCCCUUUUGUUGGGAAAGAAAUCCAAGCUGGCUAAUACCCGGUUGGGAUGACGGUACCCAAAGAAUCAAGCACCGGCUAACUUCGUGCCCAGACAGCCGCGGUAAUACGAAGGGUUGCAAGCGUUACUCGGAAUUCACUUGGGCGUACAAGCGUGCGUAGGUGGUC
rnacentral:rRNA from 1 species